rnacentral:rRNA from 1 species
CAGCCGCCGCGGUAAUACCGGCGGCCCGAGUGGCGGUCACUAUUAUUGGGCUUAAAGCGUCCGUAGCCGGGUUGGGAAGUCCUCCGGGAAAUCUGGCCGCUUAACGGUCAGAAUGCCGGAGGAUACUCCCAGCCUAGGGAGCGGGAGAGGCCGAGGGGAUUCCCGGAGUAGGGGGGAAAUCCUAUAAUCCCGGGAGGACCACCUGUGGCGAAGGCGCUCGGCUGGAACGCGUCCGACGGUGAGGGACGAAGGCCAGGGGAGCAAACCGGAUUAGAUACCCGGGUAGUCCUGGCUGUAAACGAUGCGGGCUAGCUGUUGGGCGGGCUUAGAGCCCGCCCAGUGGCGCAGGGAAGCCGUUAAGUCCGCCGCCUGGGGAGUACGGCCGCAAGGCUGAAACUUAAAGGAAUUGGCGGG